AUGGUUAGUGUAAGGGUUGAGAGUUGCGCGUUAAGGGUAAAGAUAUGGGAGGUUGUUUGCAGAAUGUCGUGGAUGAUUUUGGAAGAGGGAAAGGGUUUGACGGUGAUGAUUCAUCUAGGAGGUGAAGAAUUUGUGUUAAGACUGUUUUGGAUAGGUUUAUGCACAGGUUUAUGGUCUGGUAUGGACAGUAUACAGGGUUGGAUUUUGGAGUCUUUUGGGCAGCAACAACAGGGUUGUUUUGUGUCUAAUUUUUGCAGCCUGUAG